CCUACGGGUGGCAGCAGUCGAGAAUCAUUCACAAUGGGGGAAACCCUGAUGGUGCGACGCCGCGUGGGGGAAUGAAGGUCUUCGGAUUGUAAACCCCUGUCAUGUGGGAGCAAAUUAAAAAGAUAGUACCACAAGAGGAAGAGACGGCUAACUCUGUGCCAGCAGCCGCGGUACUACAGAGGUCUCAAGCGUUGUUCGGCAUCACGGGGCGUAAAGCGUGCGUAGGCUGUUUCGUAAGUCGUGUGUGAAAGGCGCGGGCUCAACCCGCGGACGGCACAUGAUACUGCGAGACUAGAGUAAUGGAGGGGGAGCCGGAAUUCUCGGUGUAGCAGUGAAAUGCGUAGAUAUCGAGAGGAACACUCGUGGCGAAGGCGGGUUCCUGGACAUUAACUGACGCUGAGGCACGAAGGCCAGGGGAGCGAAAGGGAUUAGAUACCCCGGUAGUC
rnacentral:rRNA from 1 species